AAGUCGAGAAGCCAGCACCUUCGAGAUAAAUUUGUAUAUGCUUCCGAUUAGGCUAAUAGGGCGGUAAUCUGAAAUGGAAGAUGGAUUGGGUGAUUUGGGGAUCAGCGCUAUAAAAGCUGCAUUUAGGCCUUUUACAAGUUUCCCAUGGUCAUGAAAUUAUUUGAAGAUCUUCAAAAUAUCAUCUUUAAUCACCCCCCAAAAUUCCUUGAAGAAGGAAAGAUUAAAGUCGUCGGGUCCCGGAGCUCUAUUUCCAUCGCAAGCUUGAACGGUAGCCCAGAUUUCCGCCUCAGUAAAUGGUUCUUCCAGCCUUAUCUUUGCUACUGAACUAACUCUCCCCAUAUUACCACAUCGAAGUUUGGCUUUCCCAUUCCUCCCUCCUCUGAAAAAGGCUUGAAAAUGGUUAAAAACAGCAAUUUUAAUAGCAUUGGGAGCUGUUAGGACUUCGCCAUCAGCAUUCAGACAUCUCAAGUUUCCCCGGGACUCUCUUACUUUAGACACCUUGUGAAAUGAUCCGUUUUAAAAUAAAAGUAGGGACAAAAAAAAAGACAGAGAAUAGAAGAUUAAAAAAAAAACAAGAAAAACAAAAAUCUAACCUUUAAAAAACCCACCGUAACCCCACCCUAUUCCUAAUGAAAAAAAAACAAUUCCCUAAUUCUUAAAACAAAACCACGUAAUACUACCCCAUCUACCCACUACUUUUCUAUCUAAACCUUAUGUUCUCUCUCGUUUUUGCUCUGCGUCAGAGAGCAAGCAAUUGAUUAUCUCCCACAAAUUCUUGUUCAUCUUUUGUUCUUUUUCACUACAAGUUCCACACCAAAUUUCCGAUUCCAAUAGACACCCAUGAAGGAAUAUUUUGGCAUCCAAGUGGAAGUGCUUUUGGGAUAAUUUUGAGGGUUAGGGUUUGUGCUCUAAGGAAGGAGAAGAGUAUCCACUCCUACAGAAUUGUUCUUCCUAUUUCAUUGAGAUCUGCCGGUUAGUGGUUCGUUUGGUUGUCGCGCCGUUGUAGAGAGCAAUCGUGUUGGUUCUUCGUAACUGCUUGCCAGGCUAAGGUGAUAGUCUGUGCGCCGGUCACGGCUUAGGAUUUUGGGUCGUGACAAAGUUGGUAUCAGAGCUUUGGUUGUAGGUCCUAUUAGCUGCAGACAUGAGGUUGUAAUGGAAUCUUGCUAGUAAAUUGUGAACCGCGGCACAACUUACUUCAAAGAUGCUAUUAACGCCUCAUGAGAGUCCUAAAGUUGUUUCCAAAGUGUGAUUUGAGUUUGUUCCUCAUUCACUGAGUUCCGAGUCAUGUGUUAUGUUUGAUGAAUAUUCUUUGUUCAGUUAGGA